AUCAAAGUAGUUUAAUUAAAAAUAUAAAUUUGUGGUGUUUAAGAUGUAGAUUUAUCUUUGGUA
rnacentral:tRNA from 1 species